rnacentral:lncRNA from 1 species
CAUCUCCCCUAAAAUCUCAAGCAACAGAAAGCUGCUGACUUGGUUGUUUUAUGUGGGUUGCUGAGGGAUUUGAGACAUUGGCAAUGUGCAAAGUCAUGACUGGUGGUGGUAGAGUUUCUAAUGGUGAUGCUGGGUGGAACCCCCUAGGAAAAUGGGCCAACGUUAGCCAAGAGUUGCUGAGAGAACACAAAGGGUACCCAAAGGGGUGAGCAAAAGUUGCCUUCUGAGAUGCUCAUGAAAACCAAGAUCAUGGGGAUGGCUGAUUAGACCUCUUCAGACACCAAGCAUGAGAUGCCUUAAUUGUGAAAUAAACUAAUUAUAACUUUUAAAGCA